CGCCGCCAAAGCCAGCCAAUUCAGCUAGUGUCAGAGUGAAGAAGCGGGUGGUGUUUGUUCAAGUGAAGCAUUUUUUGCGGCCUUUUGCAGCAAAUUACACGAAAUUCGGCUCCAAACUAUCACGAAACCGGUGCCGGGCACUCGUGUCACAAGAGAAAGCUAAAAGAAGCGCGACGAUGGCCGACGAAAGUCUUUUGAACGAUUCCAACCUGGGUGCGCUCGGAUCGAACGACGACGACUCGGAACUGAUCAUUGAGGAUGAUUACCUGAAAGGAGCCGAGAUGCAAAUCGAUCCCGAGCUGGAGGCCAUCAAGGCCCGCGUCAAAGAGAUGGAAGAGGAAGCAGAAAAGUUGAAACAGUUGCAGUCCGAGGUUACCAAACAGAUGACCCUGGGCUCGCCAACGGGGGCCACCCCGAUCAUGAGCGCCGAAGAAAAGGCCGAAAUCGACAAUCGGUCGAUCUACGUUGGCAACGUAGAUUACGGUGCGACGGCCGAAGAGCUGGAGGCACACUUCCACGGCUGUGGAACCAUCAACCGAGUCACAAUCCUGUGCAACAAAGCGGACGGCCAUCCGAAGGGCUUCGCCUACAUCGAGUUUGGCUCGAAGGAGUUUGUCGAGACGGCGCUCGCGAUGAACGAAACGCUGUUCCGGGGCCGCCAGAUCAAGGUCAACCCAAAGCGCACCAACCGGCCCGGUAUGUGCACCACCAAUCGAUUCCCGCGGGGCAUGCGAGGCCGAGCCUCGCGCGUCUCCCGUGCCUGCUGCUACGGAGCCCACCGAGGAACACGAAGGCCAGCUCGCGGAUACCGAGGACGAGCCACGUUCUACACACCUUAUUAGGAUUAAAUCACACAGAGAGAAUCAGAGAGCGAGAAAGCCGCGUCGACAUAAACACUGACGAUUUAGAGUUUAGAGAGAGUUUGCAACCCUUACAUUUAAACACACGCAUCUGCCUCCACGGUGGCAGUUAGUGAUUAUUAUUGUAUUAUAUAAAUACACAAAUCUUUUCAAAAAACAUUAUUUGUCUUCAAACUUUCUCAUUCAAAAUACCUUAACAAGAUGCACGAUUGCAAAAAAAACUCGCGCCUUUAGCCGCGAAAUCCAGAUAAAAUUCCCAACCCAACCAUUGAGCUAAACUUAACCGGAAGCCAUUUGCCAGCGCAUUGAAAAUAAUGUUUUUUGAACUUGUUCAAAAAAAGCAGAUUGCCACAA
rnacentral:misc_RNA from 1 species